UUCCUUCAUAUUUAUAAAACCCACCCUUGCACUCUCCGUGCCUAAUCUCUAAUGUUACCUUCGUAACCAAAUAUCCUUCCUUCAAGACAAGCUGCAUAUGUAUUAAGUUUCACCCAAUUAUCCUCAAGUGGCUUCCAACCAACCAUGAUAAUUGUUUUCUCGUUACUAUUAAUUACCGCUUUAAGUUUCAUAACAUCAUCAUACUUAUCUAUCCUGCAUUGGACAGGUGUUUUCGGAAAAGGAGGUCUAUUAUGACUACCAUCAUGC
rnacentral:lncRNA from 1 species